UGAGGAAUAUUGGUCAAUGGUCGGGAGACUGAACCAGCCAAGCCGCGUGAGGGAUGAAGGUACAGAGUAUCGUAAACCUCUUUUGUCAGGGAACAAAAGGCGCCACGUGUGGCGCCCCGAGUGUACCUGAAGAAAAAGCAUCGGCUAACUCCGUGCCAGCAGCCGCGGUAAUACGGAGGAUGCGAGCGUUAUCCGGAUUUAUUGGGUUUAAAGGGUGCGUAGGCGGCGAGUUAAGUCAGCGGUAAAAGCCCGGGGCUCAACCCCGGCCCGCCGUUGAAACUGGCUUGCUUGAGUUGGAGAGAAGUAGGCGGAAUGCGCGGUGUAGCGGUGAAAUGCUUAGAUAUCGCGCAGAACUCCGAUUGCGAAGGCAGCCUACCGGCUCCACACUGACGCUGAGGCACGAAAGCGUGGGUAUCGAACAGGAUUAGAUACC
rnacentral:rRNA from 1 species